CCUACGGGAGGCAGCAGUGGGGAAUUUUGGACAAUGGGCGCAAGCCUGAUCCAGCAAUGCCGCGUGAGUGAAGAAGGCCUUCGGGUUGUAAAGCUCUUUUGUCAGGGAAGAAACGGUGGAGGUUAAUACCUUCUGCUAAUGACGGUACCUGAAGAAUAAGCACCGGCUAACUACGUGCCAGCAGCCGCGGUAAUACGUAGGGUGCAAGCGUUAAUCGGAAUUACUGGGCGUAAAGCGUGCGCAGGCGGUUGUGCAAGACAGAUGUGAAAUCCCCGGGCUCAACCUGGGAAUUGCAUUUGUGACUGUACGGCUAGAGUGUGUCAGAGGGGGGUAGAAUUCCACGUGUAGCAGUGAAAUGCGUAGAGAUGUGGAGGAAUACCGAUGGCGAAGGCAGCCCCCUGGGAUAACACUGACGCUCAUGCACGAAAGCGUGGGGAGCAAACAGGAUUAGAUACCCUGGUAGUCCACGCCCUAAACGAUGUCUACUAGUUGUCGGGUCUUUAUUGACUUGGUAACGCAGCUAACGCGUGAAGUAGACCGCCUGGGGAGUACGGUCGCAAGNUUAAAACNCAAAGGAUUGACCGGNUGAGAGNGCGAGACGACGACGAGGGAGGAGG
rnacentral:rRNA from 1 species